GGGAUUCAAAAUCCAGGUUCAAAUUCUAUUUCAAGGACAAUUCUCAAGGAAAGGCUGCAGAGCUUUUAUCUUGCAUUUGAGGAGGUUUACAAGAACCAGACGGGAUGGUCAAUCCCGGAUAGCCAGCUUCGAGACGAUCUUCAUAUUUCAACAUCACUCAAGGUAAUCCAGGCUUAUCGGACUUUUGUUGGAAGACACAUCAAUCAUAUUAGCGAAAGGCACAUUAAAUACACGGCUGAUGAUUUAGAAGACCAUCUCUUAGAUCUUUUUGAGGGAUCCCAAAAAUCAUUGCAUGGUGGUCAUAAGAAGUGAUAUUGAAAACAGUGUUGUGUUAGAUUAAGGGAUACUCUACCAACAUGGUAUUGAGAUUUUUAUUUUUAUUUUUUAAUUUUUUUAAUUUUUUUCUGUUUUAAACAAUCUGCCUGCUUUUUGGAAUCUGUAUUAUAAGUGGUCGAAAGAACGCCAUAUUUUUUUAAACUUGUAUUCAUGUGUUUUGCUAAUAGGAAUUUGAAAUUUUGAGCGUCUCACGACGUUACAAAAUUGUUCCUCUGUUUGUUAAUUUUCGUUGACACUUUAUCACCAUAUAUUAAUUAAAAUGGUCAUCUUCUCUGGCAUUGGUUUGCAGCUCCUUGUGAUGUUUAAUGAAUGCUAGUUAUGGAAAGUCUGCCUAGUUAUAUGAAGAGUAAUGUUAUUCG
rnacentral:lncRNA from 1 species